AAUGGUAAAAAUAAUGAUAAAUAUUGGUAUUAUUUAGUCUCCAAAAAGAAUAGCAUGACCUUUAUCAGAGGUAUGUCUAGUUCUCAGAAAAAGAACCCAGAGCAAGAGAAAAUGACAGAUAUUUAAUAGGGGGCGAAAGUCUUUUUACAUAAAACCUGUCAAAAAAGAAAAUCGUGUUGUAAUUUGGGACUGUAGCCUGCUGUCAGUUAUUUACAGGAGUUUGAAUAGCAUUGGGUUGGGUUGUAUUAUGCCACCUAAAAUCCAAACCAAAUAGGUGUACCCAGUUAAACAGACUUGGGAAGAGAAGUGUGAAGUGUCAGCAGGAUUCUUGAAGUCAUGGUGGAGGGGAAGAGAAGUGGCCUGCAGAUUUCAUCAGCAGUUCUUCCGGUUCCCUCCUUUUUCCUAAAAUAAUCUCUCUGAAUUUAUCACUUCUGUUAGGAACAUACAAUAUGUUUUUGGUACAGAUUCUACUUAAAUAUCAACAAUUUUUCCACUCUGUCAGCUGUUCUAUAAUAUGUGAUUCUGAAAACAAACCAAAAAAAAAUAACAAAUACUGGAACGCUUUCUGCUUUUAAAGUUUGCUCUUAAAUGAUGUGACCCCUUUUAUGAUGGAUGUUGUUAGCUCCAAGGGUGCCAGAUUUAGCAAUCCAUUAUUUAUCCUCUUCUCCUGGGACUCAUCGUUUUUCCUACAUUACCACAUUUCACGUUCACAGCCCUUUUAAUGCUCACACCCUGCACUGUUUUGUGUACAUUCCAUUCAUCCUGCUCAGCCAUUAUGGGUUAUUGCCAUCUGGUGGAAAAACAGGGUUGACUACCAGAUGGUAGUUUUGAAAUUCCGGAAGUGAAAUGAAGUUGUUUUCAUCAGGGAAAAACACAUUUAUGUCUCAUGCAUAUUCUGGUGUUCUAAAACAACGAGCGUUUUUCUGUUCCAUUGCACAUGGGGAAGUAUACAACGAUUUCAGCUGCUGAACACAUUAAAAAAUUGACUUUCUAUAUACACUACACAAAAAUCGUGCUUGUAAAAAAGUUAGGUCCCCUUUUUAUUUCUUUUUUCUUUUCACUCUGUCAACCCAGGCUGGAGUACGGUGGCAAGAUCACAGCUCACUGCAGCCUCAAUCUCCCAGGCUCGAGUGAUCAUCCCACCUCAGCCUCCUGAGUAGUUGAGACUACAGGCUCACGCCAACACAACUGGCUAAUUUUUUUAAAAUUUUUGUAGAGACGGGGUCUCACUACAUUGUCCAGGCUGGUCUCAAACUUCUGGGUUCAAGUGAUCCUCCCUCCUUGUCCUCCCAAAAUGCUGGGAUUAUAGGCGUGAGCCACCGUGCCCAGCUGUCCACCUUUUUAAGUAAUCCUGUGAUCAUAAAACAAAAAUGACAAAACAAAAUAGAGCUAAAAUGUCUCAACUGCUUAUCCCUUCACUAGGAAAAAAUGCAGUAUUAGAUGUUUUCUACUUUUAAGUUCUAU
rnacentral:lncRNA from 10 species